AGAAGAGGCUGGCGCUGCUAGUCUGGAAAUCACACUGGGAGAACCAUUGUCCCGAGACCUGUCGCUGCCUGGCGUCCCCUGCCUCCCUCCUUUUAAGCAGGCCCAUAUCUGAGAAACAUUUUUGCCAGUGACAUCCUGAUGAAGUAUUUUAUAAGGUGACCAGAUUCUCAAGGUGUGAAAUAGCAUGUCUCUUCAUCUUGAGGACUCUGGAUUCUCAGCUAGAGUUUAACAUAACUGAAGGGUGCUAUCAAUAUAGUGAAGUUACCUGUGCUUAAAUGUGUCUUCACCAUUUACUUGAUCUUGAUCAAGUGACUUUAGCUGUUUGUGCUCUAUUUCCCUUUCUAUAAAAUGAGGAUAAUAAGUGGAUCUAUUUCACUGAAUGAAGAUUAAGCGAAACAAUGCAUGAACUAUGCUCAGUAUUCUGCCUGCCACUUAUUGAGUCCUCCGUGAAUAUCAGCUAUGAUUCUUCUC